ensembl:lncRNA
CCCCAUCUGCUGGUACAAAGAGACCUACAGUUUAAAACAUUGUCAAGGACUAAACAUACCUGGUGACGUGUAGAAAAAGCUAAUUUGAAGACCCAUAAUAUGAAAGACUUUGCUCUUCCAAAGACCAAGGCCAACAAACUUUGUUCAUAAAACAACCUACUAUAUCAUGUUGCCUUGUGUUACUGCUGCCUGCUGCUGUAAUAUUGGUACUGAUCAACUUCAGCCACAACCAAAGGAUUACAUCUUUCUUUUUUCCUUAAAUUUGAAGACACCACUGACGACUCAGAUGACGAAGCAGUGACAGGAAUGAAGUCAACCAAGGCAGAGACUGGUGAAGCUCAUGAUAUCACUGCUAUAAGAAUCAAGGAGGAAUAUCUGGAAGACACCACUGACGACUCAGAUGACGAAGCAGUGACAGUAAUGAAGACAACCAAGGCAGAGACUGGUGAAGCUCAUGAUUUCACUGCUAUAAGAAUCAAGGAGGAAUAUCUGGAAGACACCACUGACAACUCAGAUGACGAAGCAGUGACAGGAAUGAAGACAACCAAGGCAGAGACUGGUGAAGCUCAUGAUUUCACUGCUAUAAGAAUCAAGGAGGAAUAUCUGGAAGACACCACUGACAACUCAGAUGACGAAGCAGUGACAGUAAUGAAGACAACCAAGGCAGAGACUGGUGAAGCUCAUGAUUUCACUGCUAUAAGAAUCAAGGAGGAAUAUCUGGAAGACACCAUUGACAACUCAGAUGACGAAGCAGUGACAGGAAUGAAGUCAACCAAGGCAGAGACUGGUGAAGCUCAUGAUAUCACUGCUAUAAGAAUCAAGGAGGAAUAUCUGGAAGUUAUUACAAGUGAAACCUCUGAUGAAUCUGAUGUAGAGAUUGUCAACAUAAUUCCCAAAUUUACCCAGAAGCGCAAGUUUGUGCGUCAAAGAAAAUCUGUUAAAAGAAAGAUUGAAGAUUUUUCAGAUGAUGAACCAUUGAGUAAAGUCUCAAAGAAACAUGAUCCAAAACCUCAGAGACGGACCAAAACAGCAAACCUGCCAAUGAGACCCAGAAGAGAAAGGAGGGCAACAAUGAAAACGGACACCACUGAUGACUCAGAUGACGAAGCAGUGACAGGAAUAAAGACAACCAAGGCAGAGACUGGUGAAGCUCAUGAUAUCACUGCUAUAAGAAUCAAGGAGGAAUAUCUGGAAGAUACCACUGACGACUCAGAUGACGAAGCAGUGACAGGAAUGAAGUCAACCAAGGCAGAGACUGGUGAAGCUCAUGAUAUCACUGCUAUAAGAAUCAAGGAGGAAUAUCUGGAAGAUACCAUUGACAACUCAGAUGAUCAACCAGCGAGAGAAAUGAUGUCAAACAUUACAGAGACUGGUGAAGCUUAUGAUUACAGAGCUCUAAGAUUAACGGAGGAAUGGAUACAUUUUCGAAUUCCACUGGCAACUCAGAUGACGAAGCAGUGACAGAAAUGAAGUCAACGAAGGCAGAGACUGGUGAAGCCCAUAUCACAGCUCUAAGAAUCACAGAGGAAUGGAUAUAUUUUCUAGUAAGUUAUUAAUCCAGGAGACAACAGACUAUUUGCAUUUUGCUAUUUUUGUACUCUCACCGUGUUACAUUAAAUAUAUUAAAGUUUUUCAAAUCAUCUCUGACCAUUUACUGAUUUAUAUUUCAAUUUGUUACCAAGCUAUCCAUCUGGAAAGGAUGGAUGGCUUCAGAUCAUCUUGAUCAAGGAAACUUUGGCACGCACAUGCCAGUGUGAAUUCUACAGACAAGAACAUUCCAUAGCUGCUUUAAAACUACAUUUUGCUUUUUUCAUGUGAAUUUUCAAUUCACCAAAUCCAUUUUGUUAGAAAUAUUUGAAAUGCAAUACCUACAGAGAACAUCCAGGGUCUCCAAGAAGCCCUUAAACUCCUUCAGCCCUAUAUAUUUUUCCGAGGCGUCAUCGCUAAUUCAUAAAUCCAAGACCACCAAGUGUCUUUUAGAUCCCAUCCCAACACACCUGUUGAAGGAUGUUCUACCAUUGAUAGGCAGUUCUAUCCUGGACCAGAUCAAUGGUUCUUUAGUGACAGGUUAUGUACCCUGGUCCUACAAGGUGGCAGUGAUUAAGCCGUUGCUUAAAAAAACAUCACUGGAUCCUGACGUAUUAGCAAAUUAUAGGCCAAUAUCCAACCUUCCUUUUAUCUCUAAAGUUCUUGAGAAGGUGGUGAUGACUCAGUUACUGGAGCACCUGCAGAGGAACAGCCUGUUUGACAUGUUUCAGUCAGGCUUUAGAGCUCAUCACAGCACAGAAACAGCACUUCUUAAAGUUACUAAUGAUCUCCUCAUAGCUUCAGAUCAUGGACUGGUCUCUAUGCUGGUUCUGCUGGACCUCAGUGCUGCUUUUGAUACAGUCUAUCACAGCAUCCUGUUACAGAGACUGGAACAUGUGAUUGGGAUUAAAGGGACAGCACUAGACUGGUUUAGAUCAUAUUUAUCUGAUAGAUACCAGUUUGCUCAUGUCCAUGGGGUUCCCUCUUCAUACAGUAGGGUUAGCCAUGGAGUUCCUCAAGGUUCUGUACUCGGACCAAUCCUCUUCACAUUGUACAUGCUUCCCUUAGGGAACAUUAUUCGACAGCAUGGGAUACAUUUUCAUUGUUAUGCUGAUGACACUCAGCUUUAUUUAUCUAUGAAACCAGAGGAGACAGAGAAGUUAGUGAAGCUUCAGACCUGUCUUAAAGACAUAAAGUCUUGGAUGUCUUCAAAUUUCCUCCUCCUUAACUCAGGAAAAACAGAGGUCAUGGUGUUUGGUCCUGAACCUCUCAGGGAU